CAGGCAAAUGUGUUUACCUGUGAAACAAGGUAUAUGACUUCAGUGUCAGACAAUUUACACACACAAUAAAAUGGACUUACAAAUUUGGGUAUACGAAUAUUUGAUAUUAAAGUUCACCUUUAGUUUAGUAUGUGCACAGAGCAAAAUUUUGUUUGCAACACAAAACGCCUUCAUUAAGGAGUUUGAUCUUCAAACACGCAAAGUGACUGUUUUACUAGAACUUGCAGCUACAGUGUAUUCCAUUGAUUACGAUUACAAAACCAAACAAGUUUACUUUCCGAGAUAUUUUAACAACGAUAUAAUGAGAUUUGGGUACCCUACAGGUUGCAUAGUAGUACACAAAGUUGUCUCGACAAGCAAUAGACCAGCUGGAUUAGCUAUUGAUUCAACUCAUAACCAUAUUUAUUGGACUGAAAGUGUUGGUAGUAUUGGAAGGAUUGUCAGAUGUAAUUUAGACGGGUCAAAUAUUACAGUAAUAGCACAUAGUCUUGAUUAUCCGUUUGUCCUACGACUUGACGUUAAGAAUAGAUUCCAAAGCAAAAUACAUGAAACAGUAAAACAUAGAUGUAUACGUUUAAAUAAAAAUGGCAACAUAAUCAAUGCACAUUAUUGUUCAAUGGACUUGACAAUUUAUAAGAAGGGACUAAAGAUACCAAAGUUGGAUGUUUGUCGUGGAACGCUUUUUGAAAAUAUCUAAAUCAAGACUUGAUUUAACUGAACAACAAUUGCUUGAAAAUAUACACUCUGAUGUUACCUGUAUGGAUAUAGACAUGGAAAACGAAAGACUGUAUUGGAUUGUAGAUAACACUGGUAACCUGAAUUCAGCGAUGGUUAAUGGAUCUGAUUUUAAAACUAUCCUUAAUACAAACUGCAAAUCGACAAUAUGCAAUAACAAAGCUAUUGAUAUUUUUGGUACCCAUAUAUACUUUUCCAAUCACAAUCAACUAGCAAUGAGUAAUACAUCAAAAGGACUCGAUUUCACUGUCCUGUAUAACGACACCAACCGUAUCGACAGUAUAUAGUAUAACAUGUAAGAAAAUAUUUAAGGUAUCAAAGUUUUUUUAUGUAACGGAAUGUUUAUAAUAAACUUUUUUGCACAAACACAGCAUAAACUAAGCAAAUGAACAAAUAAAAACUCAAAUAAGAUGACUGAAUGAAUGAUAGAAAAAAAACCCAAACAUAAACAAAAAUAUAUAUGGUACUGUGAUUUUUUUGCAGGUAUUGUUUGUAUAAAAAUCUUAACAGCACGAUUAAACUCAAACCACGUUUAGAAGCAUUAAAUCAAAGAAACCUAGCCUAUACUUUCAUAAAAAAAAAAACAAAAAAAACAAAAAAAAAAAACAGAAGCAGCAAUAAAAGUUACAGUUCAAUACAAAAUUGACGAAAAGAAAAUUUUAAAAUGCCACAGUUUAAUGUACAACUUUUGAAUCCCUGUUGACUGUUGACGGGUUAUAUCACAUUUUUGGAUGUAAUUCUCGAGUAUCGGUACCGAAAUAAAGUAAUUAAAAACACACUACAAGAAUAGAAUGUUAACAAUUAAAUUAAUAUUUGUUCCUGAUAACAUCACGACAUGAAAAUAUUUUAGUAUAAGACAAGUUUGAAAAUCAAAUUACUUGAUUUUAAUUUCUUAACUCUUUAAUUUUUAUGUACAUUAUCAAUAUAUUUAUAGUCACCUUACAUUUAGUUUAUCUCAGCGCUUUUGCUUUUUGUUUGGCUCAUGAAGUCAAUUAUUGAAAAUAAUGGUCUGCUUAUUAAUAUUGCUUUAUUAAGAUGUAAUCAUUAGUUGAUAUUAUUGUCUUUAUAAGUUUUACCAUUAUUUGUAAAUGUCUAGUUAAUGUGUGGUUGCUUGCUUUUGCAUAAAAUGUAUUAAUGCAUUUAGCUGCUUUGUACCAACUGUUUGUUUGUUACUUCUGCAGCCGUAUGUAAAUAUAAAUUUGAUUGGUCUGUUCUGUUGUAAAGAAAUUUUGGUAAUCCAUGUUCUUAUUUUAUGUAUUAUGACCUGUAAAUAAAGCUUGUGUAAAACUUUUACUAAAUAUUUCUUUUUUGUGAAAAAAAAUUCAUUAUGUGUCAAUCUGAUACAUUUCAAAAUAGCUAAUUACAAAGCAAUCAAUAGUCAAUAAUCCAGUUAAAAAGCAUUUUUUUUUUUUAAUUUUAAUUCCCCAUAUCUAUAUUUUUAUGAUGUAUGAAAUGGAGAACGAAUAAAGGUGAGUUUUUCCUAGAAUUUUGAAUUUCAUUUUAUUAUAAACCCUGCAGUAAAAUUUUACGUUGAAUGUCAUCGAAUUUUUCUUUUUUUUAUUAAUUGUUUUACUGUUAUGCAAUGUGAAUCGAUAAGCUAAAUGCAAAAUGGGAAAUUAAAUUAUUUGUUUUAAUGUUUAAGGAAGCAAUAAAUCAUUUUUAAUACAACUUCAUAGACUAAUUGUAACAUUUUCGUUUUUAGUAUAUCAAAACUACACUUAAAUUUGAUAAGCAACAACAGCAAAACGUGGGAGCAGACAUUCUAAGUUGUAACUACAUGUAUUUGUGUCGAAUUGUUUGUUAAAUGAUGUGACAUAUGUAAAAUCUUUACUAUAUCAAAAAAGAUGAAAACGUAAUACCUAGUCACUCUGAUGCAAUACAUAUAUACAGUCCGCCAAAAGUUAAGCACCACCUAAAUAUAAAUGGCAAUAUUUUUUUAACUAUUCCGAAACAAAUAUUUAUGUUUGGUGUUAUGAAUUGCCUAUAACAUACACUAAGAAAGUUCAUUACGACCAAAAAAAAUAAACUCCGACAAGCAAUUUUUUAUUAAAGGUCAUUUGCACUUUUUCGAAUACACUGUUUCGAUGCCUUUAAAUUAUCUUCCUACUGUCCCGCGUACAGGUGAAAUUUGACCUUCACCAAGUCACUGUGAAAUAUGGCAAGGGGUAAGUUAUAUGUGACUGAACCUUGACAAGCAAUUGACAUGUUGAAUGCCGGUAGGCGCACUAGUUGCAUGGGUAACCAUUUCAAUGUUAAACACACCGUCAUUGUCAGAUUUUUACAACGUCAUGUUGACAUAGGAACUGUAAAUUAUAGACCAAGGUCCGGAAGACCCCGUUUAACAACCAAUCAUGAUGACAGACUCCUUAUUGGUUGUGCUAAAGCCAACCCAUUUACUCCUGCCCCACAACUUAGACACCACUGGCGUCAAUGUGGUCAUGUUAGUGUUCGAACAUUGGUCCGUCGACUUCAUAGAGGCUACCUAAGAGCUCGUCGUGUUAUCAAGAGACCUGCCCUAACAGCCAGGCACCGUAAAAUCAGGUUUCAAAGGGCUAAUGACCAUCGACGCUGGAACAUGAGAAGCUGGCAAAAUGUUCAUUGGUCAAAUGAGAGUCAGUUUCUGUUACGACCAAUAGACGACAGAAUACGAGUUUGUCGUGGAAAUAAAACUGCUAAUGACCAAAACAACAUGUGCCCAACGACUGCAUACGUUGCUGGUGGUGUUACAGUAUGGGGUUUAUUCUCAUACUGUUGUAAGGUGGGUAGGCAUAUUCUGCAGGGUAACAUGAACGGACAGACAUACAGGGAUUUGGUGCUUUGAAACAUUGUAGUCCCUCAUUUUGAUAAUCCUUUACUUGCUUCAAGAUCCUUGUGCAUGUACGACAAUGCUAGACCACACAGGGCAAGGGUUGUAACCGAGUACAAAGAGUACAAAGAGCAAGAAACCAUUGACACUAUCUUUUGGCCUUCCAUGUCUUCAGACAUGAACCCUAUCGAACAUGUCUGGGAUGCCUAUGGCAGAAAUCUCAAUCGCAGAGAUCCACCUUUGCAAAAUCUUAGCCAUUUAAGAAGCGCAAUUGUUGCUGAAUGGAAUAAAUUUGCUCAACUAAAGUUCAGAAGGCUUGUACAGAGUAUGAGACUCCGUGUUAUGGAACUGUACCGGAAGAGAGGGUGUUACACAUCCUAUUGACUCAAAUAUUGACAUUAAAUUUGUCGAACAUACCAAAGAUUAUUUGUAGAGACUUUUAAUGAUAUUGGGUGAUUAAUUGUUGUAAAAAAAUAAAAUCACAGUGAAACUUAAAUUCCGUUUCUGUUUUGUGUAAUUUUCACUGUUUCUAUGAACACAAAUUUCAAAUGCAUAGAACCUGCAUACGUGAACAAACUUAAGUCUACGGUUUGUUUAUGGUAUAUGUUAACAAAAUUGCUACAUGAAUAUUUUCGCUUUUUCGAGGAUUAACUGAUUUUUUUAAAUGAAAAAAAUUUCGGUGCAACAAAAAUAGGUGGUGCUUAACUUUUGGCAGACUGUAUAUAUAGACGAAGCGGAAUGGAAAACAAUAACUAUUCUUUUUUAGUAUUGUUCCUUAGAAAAUAGAACAAUAUACCUUAGAACGGGAAAAAAAUAUUAAAUAUAUGGUACAUUGUUUCAUUCAAGUGAAGUGCUAAACUCUUAAACGUGCAUCAAGAACAAUGUCAUGUGUUAAUUUAAAAAAAUUACAUCUUCUCCUUUCUUAUUUAUAAUAGGAUUUUUGUUAUGUCAUCGCUUAUCCUCAUAACCAUGCGAAGAUAUCAUAAAACAAGUUUUUAAAAUGAUAUAGUCUCAUAAUAAAAAAGUUGGGUUCACGCUUUUUGGAUGUGCGUUAAAUAAAGAGGCGAAAGAUAACAAAGGACAUUCAAACUCAAAAGUCGAAAGUAAACAGAAUAAACAGACAACGUCAAGGCAAAAACAAAAGAUAAAGACCGAAAGAUAAUUAACAGUACACUUAACACAACAUAGAAAACUAAAGACUGAGCAACACGAAGCCCACAAAAAUCCAGGUUUGAUAUCACGUGCUCCAGAAGAGAGCAAUUUAUACAUUUAAUAGAUAUAGGAAGAUGUGGUAUGAGUGCCAAUGAGACAACUCUCCAUCCAAGUUACAAUUUAUAAAAGUAAACCAUUAUAGGUCAAGGUACGGCCUUUAACACGGAGCAUUGGCUCACACCGAACAGCAAGCUAUAAAGGGCCCCAAAAAAUUACUAGUGUAAAACCAUUCAAACGGAAAAACCAACGGUCUAAUCUAUGCAUUUAUAUUAGUAUAACUAUGUUGAUUACAGAAAUUAAAAUCAAACAGUAACUUCUCUCUCAAAAAAGGAAGAAUCUAAGCUUGACGCAUCAUCAUUGUGACACAGUAGUUCUCGGACAACAAGUUACAGAAACUGCAUGGCUUUCAUUCGAUCAAUGGGGUGAUGGAACAAGAUUUUCUAUUUAACAUUAAAGGUUUUGAUAUAUGAAAAUGCAGAACAUGUGGUGUUGUGAGCAUUGACGUAAUGUAACUUAGAUUGACAGAAAGGACAGAAAAAUCCAAGUCAAUGAAUUUAUGAUGAAUAUUUUGUUUACUACAAAUGAAUCUGUUUGAAUAUUACUUGUAUAAACCACGACCAGUCCACUAACAACAUGUUGUUACCAAGACUAACUGUUCAUUUUAGGGAUGAUAAUGUUGUGUACAUCUAAUACAAAUUAAUGAUUUACUGCAAAAUGUGUUUUGUCUCCUGGUACAAGUUCACCUGAUACUAAAUCGAUAAAUGUACAUGAACCCAAAACCCGUUCAAUCUUUUGCAUUUGCGCUAGUUCUAAUGUUUUCAGAAGUAGAUCCUAAUUAGAGAAACAACUUCGGAAGAAAACAAAGCUGUCAUGAAAGUAAAAGCAUAAAAAAACAGAUUCGGUUUUCGAUGUCAUAAAAGAAAAUAUUGUAUGUGAUAUGUCCAAAAACGCCACAAUACACAUAAUUUUUCAAAAUAAGAUGUUAGUUAUAUUUCCCCCUGAAUGGUAUGGUUCAUUACACAAGACUAAAUUAAUGUACAUUACUUGUACAUGGUCAGCUUUCAUGAGAGUUGAUUCCAGACGUUAUGCGUUCUAAAGCAAUAAACAACAACACACUAAGGAGAGUCUCUUCAUGAUAUUACAAAUAUGCCAAGGUAUUUACAUUAUUAGUAUUCACAAAUAUAUUGUACACGUUAAAUGAAUGGUAAUUCACCAAUAGGAAUUAAACAAUUCCAAUUUUUAAUCGAAGUGUAGUUAAAUGAACUGUUUGAAAAACUCACAUAUUUUUACAAACUAAAAAUGAUUAAAACAUGUAAAAUUUAACUUUAAAUUAUAACUGAUAUACGUGCUGAAAGCAUAUUUUCCUGUAGAAGAUAUAUCGCAUACUCAGAUCAUUGUAAUUAAAUAAAGGCAACAGUAGUAUACCGCUGUUUAAAAGUCAUAAAUCGAUUAAGAGAAAACAAGUCCGGGUUACAAACUUAUAUUAUCGUGAUAUGUAUAACUUUGUCUGUCUUUUUGUUGUUUUUUUGGGGGGUUUUGUUCCAUGGGAUUAUCAGUUUUUUUUCCGAUUAAUUCGUUUGAAUGUCAUUUUGUAUCUUCUCCUCUUG